GUUUGGUCCCAGCCUUAUACUCAACUGUUGCUUAACUUACACAUGCAAGUAUCUGCACCCCCGUGAAAACGCCCCCACCCCUCCCACAGGACGGGGAGCCGGUAUCAGGCACAAACACUCCGCCCAUGACACCUAGCCUCGCCACACCCCCAAGGGUACUCAGCAGUGAUAAAUAUUGCUCAUUAGCGCCAGCUUGACUCAGUUAAAGCACACAGAGCCGGCCAAUUCGGUGCCAGCCGCCGCGGCUACACCGCUUGGCUCAAGUUGAUAUUGUCGGCGUCAAGCGUGAUUAAAGCAACCCCUUAUUAGAAUUAAACUCUUACCAAGUUGUUACACACUUGUCCCAGGAAACCCUUAAACGAAAGUUAUUCUAACUCACUUGAACUCACGACAACUGGGACACAAACUAGGAUUAGAUACCCUACUAUGCCCAGCCGUAAAAUUUACACUUACACAGACUACCGCCAGGGUAUUACGAGUGCAAUCUUAAAACCCAAAGGACUUGACGGUGUCCCACCCACCUAGAGGAGCCUGUUCUAUAAUCGACACCCCCCGAUUCACCUCACCACUUCUGGCAUACCCAGUCUGUAUACCUCCGUCGUAAGCUUACCCUGUGAAUGAUAGUGAGCUUAAAGGUAACACACCAACACGUCAGGUCAAGGUGCAACUAACGAAGUGGAAAGCAAUGGGCUACAAUUUCUACCAUAGAAUAUACGAAAUACUGCAUGCAACAUCAGUCACGAAGGUGGAUUUAGCAGUAAAGAGAAAACAGAAUAUUCUCUUUAACCAGGCGCUGGGACGCGUACACACCGCCCGUCACCCUCUUCAAGUACCCACAAGACGAGGCAAGUCGUAACAUGGUAAGCGUACUGGAAAGUGCACUUGGCUUAACAAAAUAUAGCUUAAUUAAAGCACCCCGCUUACACCGUGACAAUGUCCAUGAACAGACUAUUUUGAGCCUAAACUCUAGCCCACCCAUAUCUAUUACUUUCCCUUACCCCUUCCCAAAACAUUUUUACCAUUAAGUAACGGCGAUUAAAAAAUGAUUAAGAGCUAUAAAAACAGUACCGCAAGGGAAGUAUGAAAUAAAAUGAAAAAUCGAAAGCACAUCAUAGCAAAGCUUACACCUUGUACCUUUUGCAUCAUGGUCUAGCCAGUCCAACCAAGCAAAGCGCAUUUAAAGUUUGACAUCCCGAAACUAGACGAGCUACUUUUAAACAACCUAUCAGGGCCAACCCGUCUCUGUGGCAAAAGAGUGGGAAGAUUUUUAAGUAGAGGCGACACACCUACCGAGCCUAGAGAUAGCUGGUUAUUCAGGAAAAGGAUCUUAGUCCAAUUUUAAGCUUCUCCCUCCCCCCUCACCCACCCAAAUACAAAACAAGCUUAAAACCCAUUCAAACAAGGUACAGCCUGUUCGAAAAAGGAAACAGCCUACGACACAGGGUAAUGAUUUAUUCUAUGUGACCAAGUAAGCCUAAAAGCAGCUACCUUACAAAAAGCGUCCAAGCUUUAUCACUAAUCUUUACAAUCCCUCUACCCACCCACAACCCCCAACCACUACUGAACGACCCCAUACCCGUAUGGGGGACAUCAUGCUAGAACUAGUAACAAGAAGAAGACCUUCUCCAAAAUGUAAACGUAAGCCAAAAUGAACCCUCACCGGCACUCACCGCCACAAGUCUGCAGUAUCAACCCAACCCGAAAACCCUACUACACUUAGCGUCAACCUUACACCAGGACAUUACUGGAAAGAUUAAAAGGGGGGGAAGGAACUCGGCAAAAAUUAGCCCCGCCUGUUUACCAAAAACAUCGCCUCUUGAUAAAUUAUAAGAGGUCCAGCCUGCCCGGUGACUAAUAGUUAAACGGCCGCGGUAUCCUAACCGUGCGAAGGUAGCACAAUCACUUGUUCUUUAAAUCAGGACUAGUAUGAACGGCUUCACGAGAGCUAUACUGUCUCCCUCCCCCAAUCAGUGAAUCUAAUCUCCCCGUGAAGAAGCGGGGAUAUCCCUAUAAGACGAGAAGACCCCAUGGAGCUUAAAACUUGUACCACUGCCUCAACUACACCACUAACCCAGGCAAACAUGACUACCAGUCUUUCAGCUGGGGCGACUACGGAGAAAAACUCAACCCCCGUGAUAAGCAAUCCGAGAAUUACUAUUCUAAGAAUCAACAUAUUGACAUAAUUGACCCAAAUAUUGAUCAACGAACAAAGUUACCCUGGGGAUAACAGCGCAAUCCAUUUCUAGAGACCCCAUCAACAAAUGGGCUUACGACCU
rnacentral:ncRNA from 1 species